UACGUAGGGUGCAAGCGUUAAUCGGAAUUACUGGGCGUAAAGCGUGCGCAGGCGGUUGUGCAAGCCAGAUGUGAAAUCCCCGGGCUUAACCUGGGAAUGGCAUUUGGGACUGCAAGGCUCGAGUGCGGCAGAGGAGACUGGAAUUCCUGGUGUAGCAGUGAAAUGCGUAGAUAUCAGGAGGAACACCGAUGGCGAAGGCAGGUCUCUGGGCUGACACUGACGCUCAUGCACGAAAGCGUGGGGAGCAAACAGG
rnacentral:rRNA from 1 species